AAUGGUCAUGGAAACUUCAAAGAUACAGACUUGUUGGAUGGCAAGUAUCCACCAGAAACCAGCGGAGGUAAGAUAAUAUAAAAUUGUUAUGCAUACUGAAAUCUGUUUAAGAUGCAGAGGCAGCUGUCUUCCAGUUCGCUUUGAUCAUCCAAGGAAUAGAUGAUCCAGUGGUGGAACUGCUUUAAUUUACAAUUUUGUUUGUAUUGUCAAAGCAGUAUUCUUAAAAGUAGGAUAUGCAUGUUGGAUAAGCUUUUAAAAUCACCUAAGUUCCAUUUUUCACGCCUUUAAUGACUUAAGUGGUUCACAUCUAUUGACUUUGAGAUUUACACACCCAAAUGACUAAGACACACGUGUGUGUGUGUGUGUACACACGUAUGGGCUCAUAAUACAGGAAAGUGGGGUGGGUGGAAUUCUCAGCAGAAAAAAGUCUUCCUAAUUAUAAGGACAGUAAAGGAAGCUGUGGGAUAUCCUUCACUGCAGUUUUUCAUGAGGCUAGAUAGGUGCCAUCUUAAACUGAUUCAUUCUUUUUAAACGUGCACCUGACUAGAAGGCUGUAGAUGAAGUCAUCCCUUCCAACCCCAUGAUUCUGUCAACUCAAGCAUUUCCAGGUUUUGCAGCAGAGACUUGAAGUUUGGCUCUGACAUCAAGACUCUGCUCUUUGCUAUUACUUUUCUUUUGAAACAAUUUUUUUUGCAAGCCUUUAGAAAUCAAAUUUGUAGACGUUCAGACACAUGUCUGUUGCAAAUAAUUCUUUCAAGGCUCUGGUUGCAAAGAGCAUAUUUUUUUCCCCUGUUUCCAGUUGUUAUGGGGCCAGG